rnacentral:rRNA from 1 species
UACAGAGGUCUCAAGCGUUGUUCGGAUUCGUUGGGCGUAAAGGGUGCGUAGGCGGCGCGGUAAGUCGGGUGUGAAAUCUUGGAGCUUAACUCCGAAACUGCAUUCGAUACUGCCGUGCUUGAGGACUGGAGAGGAGACUGGAAUUUACGGUGUAGCGGUGAAAUGCGUAGAUAUCGUAAGGAAGACCAGUGGCGAAGGCGGGUCUCUGGACAGUUCCUGACGCUGAGGCACGAAGGCCAGGGAGCAAACGGG